rnacentral:rRNA from 1 species
CAGUAGCCGCGGUAAUACGUAGGGUGCAAGCGUUAUCCGGAAUUAUUGGGCGUAAAGAGCUCGUAGGCGGUUUGUCGCGUCUGCUGUGAAAACUGGAGGCUCAACCUCCAGCCUGCAGUGGGUACGGGCAGACUAGAGUGCGGUAGGGGAGAUUGGAAUUCCUGGUGUAGCGGUGGAAUGCGCAGAUAUCAGGUGGAACACCGAUGGCGAAGGCAGAUCUCUGGGCCGUAACUGACGCUGAGGAGCGAAAGCAUGGGGAGCGAACAGGAUUAGAUACCCCAGUAGUCCCUGUCUCUUAUAC